rnacentral:rRNA from 1 species
GAAUAAGGACCGGCUAACUCCGUGCCAGCAGCCGCGGUAAUACGGAGGGUCCGAGCGUUAUCCGGAAUCAUUGGGUUUAAAGGGUCCGCAGGCGGUCAAUUAAGUCAGAGGUGAAAUCCCAUAGCUCAACUAUGGAACUGCCUUUGAUACUGGUUGACUUGAGUCAUAUGGAAGUAGAUAGAAUGUGUAGUGUAGCGGUGAAAUGCAUAGAUAUUACACAGAAUACCGAUUGCGAAGGCAGUCUACUACGUAUGUACUGACGCUGAGGGACGAAAGCGUGGGGAGCGAACAGGAUUAGAUACCCUGGUAGUCCACGCCGUAAACGAUGGAUACUAGUUGUUUGGCAUUAGCUAAGUGACUAAGCGAAAGUGAUA